rnacentral:rRNA from 1 species
UGGGGAAUAUUGGACAAUGGGCGCAAGCCUGAUCCAGCCAUGCCGCGUGAGUGAUGAAGGCCCUAGGGUUGUAAAGCUCUUUCACCGGUGAAGAUAAUGACGGUAACCGGAGAAGAAGCCCCGGCUAACUUCGUGCCAGCAGCCGCGGUAAUACGAAGGGGGCUAGCGUUGUUCGGAUUUACUGGGCGUAAAGCGCACGUAGGCGGACUAUUAAGUCAGGGGUGAAAUCCCGGGGCUCAACCCCGGAACUGCCUUUGAUACUGGUAGUCUUGAGUUCGAGAGAGGUGAGUGGAAUUCCGAGUGUAGAGGUGAAAUUCGUAGAUAUUCGGAGGAACACCAGUGGCGAAGGCGGCUCACUGGCUCGAUACUGACGCUGAGGUGCGAAGGCGUGGGGAGCAAACAGG